AGUGAACGCUGGCGGUAGGCCUAACACAUGCAAGUCGAACGGCAGCACAGUAAGAGCUUGCUCUUACGGGUGGCGAGUGGCGGACGGGUGAGGAAUACAUCGGAAUCUACUUUUUCGUGGGGGAUAACGUAGGGAAACUUACGCUAAUACCGCAUACGACCUACGGGUGAAAGCAGGGGAUCUUCGGACCUUGCGCGAUUGAAUGAGCCGAUGUCGGAUUAGCUAGUUGGCGGGGUAAAGGCCCACCAAGGCGACGAUCCGUAGCUGGUCUGAGAGGGUGAUCAGCCACACUGGAACUGAGACACGGUCCAGACUCCUACGGGAGGAAGCAGUGGGGAAUAUUGGACAAUGGGCGCAAGCCUGAUCCAGCCAUACCGCGUGGGUGAAGAAGGCCUUCGGGUUGUAAAGCCCUUUUGUUGGGAAAGAAAAGCAGCAGGUUAAUACCCCGCUGUUCUGACGGUACCCAAAGAAUAAGCACCGGCUAACUUCGUG
rnacentral:rRNA from 1 species